GAAGGGCGGGAUGGGGCGGCCCAGGACACCUUGGUUACAACCUCUGGCUCCCUGUAGGGAGGGGCAGUUCCUGGGACGGUCACCUUGGCAACAGGUUCUUGGUCAGGGAGGAGGAAGGGCUCUGAAGGAACUCACAUUUCAGUCCCACAGGGGACAGUCUCCAACUUCCCAGACUCCCUCAAAACUGGCCUCCUUGAUCCACCUGACUGGAUCUACCCACCUGUACUGACUGCCUGUCUGAUUCUGGCUUCAGCAGGAAGGACACUGUGGCCGGCAGCCCUUCCAGAGUCCAGAAAAUACAGCCUCAUUCAGCCCUGGGCACAGAGUCCUGGACCUCAGCUGGUAGCCAGCAGCUCAGCUGUGGCUCUGCUGCUGUCCAUGAGGAAGGACUAGCUGGGCAGCCAGGUGCGCAAGAGGACGUGCAGGGUUGAGGGAAUGGAAACCACACUUCAACAGGCCUGGCUUUUAUUUCCCCCACUAAGAAGCUAAUAAAUCUGUGACUUUAAAGUACUGUGAGCCUCAGCCUUCUCCACUACAGAAUGAGGAUCCUCCUACGCUCAUAUCUCCUCUGGACUUUUUUUCCUGGAGGCUGGAAUCCAGGCUGAUGCAUGUUUUGACUCUGGUCUUGAUCCUGCCUUGUGACUGAAUGGCAGCCUGGUGGUGCAGGUGGUGCAGGGCAGACUCCGGGAGGCAGGACGGCAUCUCUGCUUGGCGGACCUUUCCCCAGGCAGGAGAGCAGCCUGGCGCUCUGCUCUGAGGCUGUGUUGGGGGCUGGGGUCAGGAGGAGCCAGGGCGGCUGUAAGGAAUGGGGCCGGAGAGGAGGGCGGUCCCCUCUGUUGUCUUUAUUGUCAGCAGCAUCCAGAGGUCCUUUCAAGUUUCUUUGUUUUACUGGUUCCCAGUGCUUCAAAGCAGAGGGAGGAGGUGACCAGUGUCCUGCCCAGGGGCAGAGAGAAGGGGUUAGUGAGUCAUAGCUGUGGACACUCAAUGGAAGAGGGACCAAGGGAGGAAGGAAAAGGAGUAAGAGAGGAUCUAGGGCCGACACCGAGUCUGGAGUCUCAGACUGGGGCACCCAUAAUCUCACACCAAAAAGGCCGAUUCCCAGGAUCCGCCCAGCACCCACUUGAGCCGCUCCGGCAGAAGGUGGGGGUGGUCUGCACGGACCCCAGCACACUGGGAAGCUGGUGGCAAGGCCCUCGAUCGGCUUCCUUGAUACACCUGGAAAAAUUCAGGGUCCCUGGCCACCAGCCCAGGAAAACGUUCUCUGGGGCCAUUCCUUUGCUCUGGACCCCCAUCCUGUGGCUUUUGGGGAAAUUCGUGACCUGGUGGAAAUGUGAUGCGACAGAAGAGGACGAAAGGGAAGGCGAACCAUUCAUCUUCCUCAGAAAAACAUCUCCAGCACCUCUGCUGCUCAGCGGACUCAGUGCCGGGCUGAGAAGGGACAAGGCAAAGGGCCCACACUGGUAAAUGACAGUGGCCGCAGAAGCACUGGCCUCAGGCUGUGCCCAGGACACGUGUCUAGGAGCAGCAGGGGGCAGACUCAAGAAGGACAGGUGGCUAAUGACAACACGCAGAGACUGGCUGACCUCACACCAGGAAAAGAGACACACUCACGUGGGAAACCAGAGAAUGCAGCUGACCGUCAGGAUCCUAAAUAACCUCAGUGGUCAGCACGAAGCUUUGAUGGGACUUCCAGUUCACGUACUAGGGAGCAGCCAGGCUCUCCCAUGAGCUGUAGGGGAGGGGACACGUUUCCCAGGGUUUCGCAGACCUAAUGUCAUCGUGAAGCCAUUAGAGGGCUUAUGUGCUAAGAAGUGUGGAGAAGCCCGGGUUAAACUACAUGAAGAGUAUUUCUCUAUUGUA